rnacentral:misc_RNA from 1 species
GAUGAAGAACGUAGCGAAAUGCGAUAAGUAAUGUGAAUUGCAGAAUUCAGUGAAUCAUCGAAUCUUUGAACGCACAUUGCGCCCGCCAGUAUUCUGGCGGGCAUGCCUGUUCGAGCGUCAUUUCAACCAUCAAGCCCUGCUUGCGUUGGGGUCCUGCGGCUGCCCGCAGGCCCUGAAAACCAGUGGCGGGCUCGCUAGUCACACCGAGCGCAGUAAUACAUCUCGCUUUGGGCGUGCGGCGGGUUCUUGCCGUUAAACACCCCCUUUUUACCAAGGUUGACCUCGGAUCAGGUAGGAAUACCCGCUGAACUUAAGCAUAUCAAUAAGCGGAGA